UACGUAGGUGGCAAGCGUUGUCCGGAUUUACUGGGCGUAAAGAGCGCGCAGGCGGUCGUUCAAGUCGCGUGUGAAAGCCCCCGGCUCAACUGGGAAGGGUCACGCGAUACUGAUCGACUCGAAGGCAGGAGAGGGUAGUGGAAUUCCCGGUGUAGUGGUGAAAUGCGUAGAUAUCGGGAGGACACCAGUGGCGAAGGCGACUACCUGGCCUGUCUGACGCUGAGG
rnacentral:rRNA from 1 species